GACGAACGCUGGCGGCGUGCUUAACACAUGCAAGUCGAACGGAGCACCCUCGAAAGAGAUUUCGAUCAAUGGAGAGGAAUGCUUAGUGGCGGACGGGUGAGUAACGCGUGAGUAACCUGCCUUUCAGAGGGGGACAACAGUUGGAAACGACUGCUAAUACCGCAUAACGUAUCUGUAUCGCAUGGUAUGGAUACCAAAGAUUUAUCGCUGAGAGAUGGACUCGCGUCUGAUUAGCUAGUUGGUAGGGUAACGGCCUACCAAGGCGACGAUCAGUAGCCGGACUGAGAGGUUGGCCGGCCACAUUGGGACUGAGAUACGGCCCAG
rnacentral:rRNA from 1 species